ACAAAGUGCGCCAUUUAUCGCGCUACGCUUUUCGUGCCCCUGCGUGGGAGGGGGAGGCACCGCUUGCAGUUGGAUGGAGUCGAUGAUUGUGCGCUGUGGUCAGCAGAGAUAUCUGGAAGUGCAUAAGAAGUCAUUGGCACCAGCCUCUUGUGGAGCUAUACUGGGCAUCGGGUGCUGAAACAUCAUGAAACCAUCUGUGGUGGCUGAUGAGAUGUUCCCAGACAAUGCUGCCAAUCAAUUUAUGGAUGUCUCCAUGGAGGAGAACAUGUCUGGCAUGGACCGUACCGGCAUCUUGGACCUGGCAGGCAAUGAGAAGAUAGUACAUGCGGACUUCCCCAACAACUUUGGCGACCUGUUCGACGACGACGACCUGGAAUGAAGCUGUGUGAGUCCCCUCCGUCUACCAGUGACGUCACCCGGCCGCCAGCCGGACGCCGGCGCCGCGCUUCGUCACUGCUCCUCCUUGUCGCGCCGUGCUGACAAUUACAGCUGACCGCGAGGCUGACUAAA
rnacentral:lncRNA from 1 species